rnacentral:ncRNA from 2 species
UAUUGUAUGCCAGAAUUAGAUGUAGUACAUACAUAAAAGGGAAUUCGGUGAAAUGCCGAAGCUGUAUCCGCAACUGUAAAUGCUGAUGAAAUAAGGAAAUACCACUGUUUUAUACGGGAAGGUCCUUAAAGUAAAUUGAUGCAUAAGCCAGGAGACCUAUCUAAUUCAUAGCGUAUAU